GAUGAACGCUGGCGGCGUGCCUAAUACAUGCAAGUCGAGCGAACGGACGAGAAGCUUGCUUCUCUGAUGUUAGCGGCGGACGGGUGAGUAACACGUGGAUAACCUACCUAUAAGACUGGGGUAACUUCGGGAAACCGUAGCUAAUACCGGAUAAUAUUUUGAACCGCAUGGUUCAAAAGUGAAAGACGGUCUUGCUGUCACUUAUAGAUGGAUCCGCGCUGCAUUAGCUAGUUGGUAAGGUAACGGCUUACCAAGGCAACGAUGCAUAGCCGACCUGAGAGGGUGAUCGGCCACACUGGAACUGAGACACGGUCCAGACUCCUACGGGAGGCAGCAGUAGGGAAUCUUCCGCAAUGGGCGAAAGCCUGACGGAGCAACGCCGCGUGAGUGAUGAAGGUCUUCGGAUCGUAAAACGCUGUUAUUAGGGAAGAACAUAUGUGUAAGUAACUGUGCACAUCUUGACGGUACCUAAUCAGAAAGCCACGGCUAACUACGU
rnacentral:rRNA from 1 species